UGAUAAUUGAAUGUGCUGAAGUUUGGUCCC
rnacentral:piRNA from 1 species